rnacentral:rRNA from 1 species
CCCUGAAGCGGGGGACAACAGCCUGAAAGGGCUGCUAAUACCGCAUGUGGAUCGCCCUGGCAUCAGGGAUUAUCCAAAGCCGCAUAGCAAUAUGUGGCACUUCAGGAUGGGCCCGCGGCCUAUCAGCUAGUUGGAGGGGUAACGGCCCACCAAGGCUUCGACGGGUAGCUGGUCUGAGAGGACGAUCAGCCGGAUUGGGACUGAGAUACGGCCCAG